GAUUAUGGCUCAGGAUGAACGCUAGCGGCAGGCUUAACACAUGCAAGUCGAGGGGCAGCGGGAUGUAGCAAUACAUUGCCGGCGACCGGCGGAUGGGUGCGUAACGCGUAUGCAACCUACCUUAUACAGGGGAAUAACCUUUCGAAAGGGAGACUAACACCCCAUGGUAUUGAUUUAAGGCAUCUUAGAUUAAUUAAAUAUUUAUAGGUAUAAGAUGGGCAUGCGUAUGAUUAGCUAGUUGGUAAGGUAACGGCUUACCAAGGCGACGAUCAUUAGGGGUUCUGAGAGGAAGGUCCCCCCACACUGGUACUGAGACACGGACCAGACUCCUACGGGAGGCAGCAGUGAGGAAUAUUGGUCAAUGGGCGCAAGCCUGAACCAGCCAUGCCGCGUGCAGGGAAAGACGGCCUUAUGGGUUGUAAACUGUCUUUUACAUAAGACUAACCGUAUAUUUGCGAAUAUACCUGAAUGUAUUAUGAGAAUAAGGAUCGGCUAACUCCGUGCCAGCCGCAGC
rnacentral:rRNA from 1 species